rnacentral:rRNA from 1 species
UUGACCUCAAAUCAGGUAGGACUACCCGCUGAACUUAAGCAUAUCAAUAAGCGGAGGAAAAGAAACUAACAAGGAUUCCCCUAGUAACUGCGAGUGAAGCGGGAAAAGCUCAAAUUUGAAAUCUGGCGGUUCUUGAACUGUCCGAGUUGUAAUCUAGAGAAGUGUUACCUGUGCUGAACCGUGUACAAGUCUCCUGGAAUGGAGCAUCAUAGAGGGUGAGAAUCCCGUCUUUGACAUGGACUGCCUGUACAUUAUGGUGCGCUCUCAAAGAGUCGAGUUGUUUGGGAAUGCAGCUCAAAAUGGGUGGUAAAUGCCAUCUAAAGCUAAAUAUUGGCGAGAGACCGAUAGCGAACAAGUACCGUGAGGGAAAGAUGAAAAGAACUUUGGAAAGAGAGUUAAACAGUACGUGAAAUUGCUGAAAGGGAAACGCUUGAAGUCAGUCACGUUGGCUAGAAAUCAGCCUUGCUCUUGCUUGGUGUACUUUCUGGUUGAUGGGUCAGCAUCAAUUUCGACCAUUGGAUAAAGUCUCUGGGAAUGUGGCAUCUUAGGAUGUGUUAUAGCCCAGGGUCGCAUACGGUGGUUGGGAUUGAGGAAUUCAGCACGCCGCAAGGCCGGGUUUCGACCACGUUCGUGCUUAGGAUGCUGGCAUAAUGGCUUUAAUCGACCCGU